UUCGACGUCAAAGAGAGCCGCAAAAGAAAACCCUACAUGAUGAACCUGAUCUCAGUUCGAGUGUUGAGGUUUCUCGACCUUCCGUGACAGCCACACCAGCUCCCAAGAUGAUGUGGUUCUAUAGUACUGCGGACGCUUACAACCACAUCAAGAUAGAUGCAGACGCACCAGAGCUCACGGACCUUAUGCCCGAAGUAAAGGAAGAAGAUGACCAAAAGUUGUGGUUCUAUCAGGGUGACAAUAAUUCAUCGAAGGAGGAUUAGUACGUAUUAAAUAACUUCGCAAAAGACAAA